CCUACGGGAGGCAGCAGUGAGGAAUAUUGGUCAAUGGACGAGAGUCUGAACCAGCCAAGUAGCGUGAAGGAUGACUGCCCUAUGGGUUGUAAACUUCUUUUAUAUGGGAAUAAAAUGUUCCACGUGUGGGAUUUUGUAUGUACCAUAUGAAUAAGGAUCGGCUAACUCCGUGCCAGCAGCCGCGGUAAUGCGGAGGAUCCGAGCGUUAUCCGGAUUUAUUGGGUUUAAAGGGAGCGUAGGUGGAUUGUUAAGUCAGUUGUGAAAGUUUGCGGCUCAACCGUAAAAUUGCAGUUGAAACUGGCAGUCUUGAGUACAGUAGAGGUGGGCGGAAUUCGUGGUGUAGCGGUGGAAUGCUUAGAUAUCACGAAGAACUCCGAUUGCGAAGGCAGCUCACUGGACUGCAACUGACACUGAGGCGCGAAAGUGUGGGUAUCAAACAGGAUUAGAUACCCGGGUAGUC
rnacentral:rRNA from 1 species